GACGAACGCUGGCGGCGUGCCUAAUGCAUGCAAGUCGCACGCAGAGUGCUUGCACUCUGAGUGGCGCACGGCUGAGGACCACGUGGGAACGUGCCCUUCUGUGGGGGAUAACCCGCCGAAAGGCGGGCUAAUCCCGCAUACGCCCGCGCAAGCGGGGAAAGUCACACGACGCAGACGGAGCGGCCCGCGGCCCAUCAGGUAGUUGGCGGGGUAAUGGCCCACCAAGCCACUGACGGGUAGCUGGUCUGUGAGGACAGACAGCCAGACUGGGACUGAGACACGGCCCAGACUCCUACGGGAGGCAGCAGCAAGGAAUUUUCGUCAAUGGGCGCAAGCCUGAACGAGCAACGCCGCGUGCAGGACGACGGCCUUCGGGUUGUAAACUGCUUUUCAGGGGGAAGACAGCGACGGUACCCCUGGAAUAAGGCUCGGCUAACUCUGUGCCAGCCGCCGCCGUAACAC
rnacentral:rRNA from 1 species